AUACGGAGGAUCCGAGCGUUAUCCGGAUUUAUUGGGUUUAAAGGGUGCGCAGGCGGGAGAUUAAGUCGGCGGUGAAAUUUUGCAGCUCAACUGUAAAAGUGCCUUCGAAACUGGGUUCCUUGAGUGUAGAUGAAGUAGGCGGAAUUUGUGGUGUAGCGGUGAAAUGCAUAGAUAUCACGAGGAACUCCGAUUGCGCAGGCAGCUUACUAAACUACUACUGACGCUCAGGCACGAAGGCGUGGGGAUCAAACAGGAUUAGAUACCCUGGUAGUCCACGCAGUAAACGAUGAUUACUAGCUGUUUGCGAUACAAUGUAAGCGGCUGAGCGAAAGCGUUAAGUAAUCCACCUGGGGAGUACGUUCGCAAGAAUGAAACUCAAAGGAAUUGACGGGG
rnacentral:rRNA from 1 species